UACAGAGGUCCCAAGCGUUAUUCGGAAUAAUUGGGCGUAAAGGGUGCGCAGGCGGUAUGCUAAGUCAGUUGUUAAAGACCUCAGCCUAACUGAGGGUCAGCAGCAGAUACUGGUGUGCUAGAGGGUGGAAGAGAGAAGUGGAAUUCUUGGAGUAGCGGUAAAAUGCGUAGAUCUCAAGAGGAACACCAAUGGCGAAGGCAGCUUCUUGGUCCACAUCUGACGCUCAUGCACGAAAGCGUGGGGAGCAAACAGG
rnacentral:rRNA from 1 species